rnacentral:rRNA from 1 species
GGGGGGCAGCAGUGGGGAAUAUUGGACAAUGGGGGCAACCCUGAUCCAGCCAUGCCGCGUGAGUGAUGAAGGCCUUAGGGUUGUAAAGCUCUUUCACCGGUGAAGAUAAUGACGGUAACCGGAGAAGAAGCCCCGGCUAACUUCGUGCCAGCAGCCGCGGUAAUACGAAGGGGGCUAGCGUUGUUCGGAUUUACUGGGCGUAAAGCGCACGUAGGCGGAUAUUUAAGUCAGAGGUGAAAUCCCAGGGCUCAACCCUGGAACUGCCUUUGAUACUGGGUAUCUUGAGUAUGGAAGAGGUGAGUGGAAUUCCGAGUGUAGAGGUGAAAUUCGUAGAUAUUCGGAGGAACACCAGUGGCGAAGGCGGCUCACUGGUCCAUUACUGACGCUGAGGUGCGAAAGCGUGGGGAGCAAACAGGAUUAGAUACCCCGG